AGGAUGAACGCUGGCGGCGUGCCUAACACAUGCAAGUCGAACGUCCUGUCUCGCAAGAGGCAGGGAGUGGCGGACGGGUGAGUACCACGUGGGUCAUCUACCGUGAGGUGAGGAAUACCGGCGAGAAAUCGCCGACAAGACCGCAUAGCCUCGGUGCAAGCCGAGGAAAGCUCUCUCGAGAGAGGGAGCGCCACACGAGGAGCCUGCGCCCGAUUAGCUAGCUGGUGGAGUAACGGUUCACCAGGGCGACGAUCGGUAGCUGGUCUGAGAGGACGAUCAGCCACACUGGGAUUGAGAACGGCCCAGACUCCUACGGGGGGCAGCAGUGAGGAAUUUUCGUCAAUGGGGCAACCUGAACGAGCAACGCCGCGUGCAGGAAGAAGGUUUUCGGAUCGUAAACUGCUUUUCGUGGGGAAGAGAACGGACGGUACCGAGGAAUCAGCCCCGGCUAACUACGCGCCAGCAGCCGCGGUAA
rnacentral:rRNA from 1 species